rnacentral:misc_RNA from 1 species
UUUCCGUAGGUGAACCUGCGGAAGGAUCAUUACCAUACACUCAGUGUGCCCUAGAGGCCCUGCGGGGCCGCGCUUGCAAUAACCGGAAGGCCAGGAUCGUGUCCCCACCCUUUCCCCCUUUCCCCCCAUGGGGGUGGGGCAUCCCCCCCUCACGAACACGUUCCUGGAGCGCGGCUGUCUGAAUCCUUUGUCUAUGCGUACUCUCUCGUUUGCUCCCUCGGCGGGGUCACCCGUCGUUGGGUUAGCUUCACCCACCCUUUUGCAGUAGCAGUAUAUUUCUGACGUUGGCAUAAAUCAUUACAACUUUCAACAACGGAUCUCUUGGUUCUG